UUAAUGAUAAUGUGACGCCUCAGCUGAUUUCUUAUAUAGCGACGGGCCUGAAUAUAUCGCGAUCGUCACCCCGGCCGCUGAGCGCGGAACGGUGCGAGGGGGACGGUAGGUGUCACCUACUGAAUUUCGCCCGAAAUGUGCAGAUCAUGACCAGCUCUGCUUUAAGCCUUCAAUAAGAAGAAAAAAGUGUUACGAAGAAGAGGUGUUACGAGGAAGAAGCACGAGAAGAAGCAGGUGCGAGAAGGAAAAACUUUUAGUAUUACUGCAAGUAACGACAACCAAAGUAAGGACUACAAGAAGACUUCAACAAGAAAAGAAGAAGAAACAAGAAGAAACAGUUACUCAAGAACCACCAAAAUCUUUUCUCUGUUAGCGACAAACAACUUGUUUUAUUUGAGUCUCAUAACAGCGGGAUCAAGAUGAUACGAGUAUGUUGUGUACCAGGAUGUUUAACAGGGAAGACAUCACCAUUGCAUAAAUUCCCACGAAAUGCUGAACGUAGGCUACAAUGGUUCAAGAAUUUGAAAAUGAAGCCAGUGGAGGGACCUGAGGAGAAAAAGUUAUGAGUAUGCUACAACCAUUUUAGGGA